ACGAAGCCGCGAGGUAGAGCAAAUCUCAAAAAGACAUCUCAGUCCAGAUUGCAGGCUGCAACUCGCCUGCAUGAAGUCGGAAUUGCUAGUAAUCGUAGGUCAGCAUACUACGGUGAAUACGUUCCCGGGCCUUGUACACACCGCCCGUCACACCAUGGGAGUCGGUAACACCCGAAGCCGAUAGUCUAACGAAAGAGGACGUCGUCGAAGGUGGGAUUGAUGACUGGGGUGAAGUCGUAACAAGGUAUC
rnacentral:rRNA from 1 species